rnacentral:rRNA from 1 species
UACGUAGGGUGCAAGCGUUAAUCGGAAUUACUGGGCGUAAAGCGUGCGCAGGCGGUGAUGUAAGACAGUUGUGAAAUCCCCGGGCUCAACCUGGGAACUGCAUCUGUGACUGCAUUGCUGGAGUGCGGCAGAGGGGGAUGGAAUUCCGCGUGUAGCAGUGAAAUGCGUAGAGAUGUGGAGGAACACCGAUGGCGAAGGCAGCCUCCUGGGCCAGCACUGACGCUCAUGCACGAAAGCGUGGGGAGCAAACAGG